AUACGUAGGGGGCAAGCGUUAUCCGGAUUUACUGGGUGUAAAGGGAGCGUAGACGGUUUGGCAAGUCUGAUGUGAAAGCCCGGGGCUCAACCGCGGGACUGCAUUGGAAACUGUCAGACUUGAGUGCAGGAGAGGUAAGUGGAAUUCCUAGUGUAGCGGUGAAAUGCGUAGAUAUUAGGAGGAACACCGGUGGCGAAGGCGGCUUACUGGACUGUAACUGACGUUGAGGCUCGAAAGCGUGGGGAGCAAACAGGAUUAGAUCCCCUGGUAGUCCACGCCGUAAACGAUGAAUACUAGGUGUUGGGAGACAAUAGUUUCUCGGUGCCGCAGCAAACGCAAUAAGUAUUCCACCUGGGGAGUACGUUCGCAAGAAUGAAACUCAAAGGAAUUGACGGGG
rnacentral:rRNA from 1 species